CCUANGGGUGGCUGCAGUGGGGAAUAUUGCUCAAUGGGCGAAAGCCUGAAGCAGCGACGCCGCGUGAACGAAGAAGUCCUUCGGGAUGUAAAGUUCUUUCGUCAGGGACAAUUAUGAUGGUACCUGCAUAAGAAGGCCCGGCUAACUAUGUGCCAGCAGCCGCGGUAAUACAUAGGGGCCAAGCGUUAUCCGGAAUUAUUGGGCGUAAAGCGCGUGUAGGUGGUCAAUCAAGUCAGGUGUUAAAUCUGGAGGCUCAACCUCCAUACGCGCCUGAAACUAGUUGGCUUUGAUGUCUGGAGAGGGAAGCGGAACUCACAGUGUAGCGGUGAAAUGCGUAGAUAUUGUGAGGAACACCAGUGGCGAAGGCGGCUUCCUGGCCAGAGUAUGACGCUAAAACGCGAAAGCGUGGGGAGCAAACAGGAUUAGAUACCCGANUANUC
rnacentral:rRNA from 1 species